AUCAGAAAUAGUAACCUCGCGACACCUAUUUUGAGUGCGGCUUGCAUAUUUUGAAGGGCCACAACGGAGAACAACUCCUACAAUAUCUGGUAGAAAUAAACAAGGAUUAGUACCUGUUUGGAUUUAUUGAGAAGUCUAUGAGAAUAGGUAUGAUCAGUUCCACGAAAUACAAUAGAAGCAGCAACCAUUGUUGCAUAAGUGUCAGCAGUCCAAUGUGCGAUCGUGAGUCUGUUUUUGUCUUAGCACAUACCAUUGUGUAGUCCUGCUGAUCUGCCAGCUUUCUCAUUGACUACACUCUGAAUUCCCAUACUACAGAAAAGGGCCACAUAAAGAUUCAAUUAGACAAUCAAAUUCAACACAAAUACUACAUUGUUUCAUCUCUUAAAAAAAGGGCAAAACUACCAAAUGAAAGCAGCACCAUAGUUUAGUAGCAGCAGUACAGAGUCAAAUUCACCUUCUACACGCAUAAAUUAGCUUUUGAUCUAGUUAUAAUUGGCUCUUCAUUAAUGAUCAAACAUAAAGCAAAAUUGACCAGGAGAAAGUUAUUAUUUACAAUCAACAGAUGUAUACAGAGUCCUAAAUUAUAAGCAAACUAAAUACUUGAAACAUAUGAUAUAACCUUAUACAAAAAAUGAAUAUAGCACCUGAACUCCAGUCAUUCUAACUUUCCCAACAAUGUAAGUUGAAUUCAUGGAUGAGUGUUUUACAUUAUUAGGGAGUCAUGUGAAUGAUCUGGGCAUAUAUUAUUGUAGACAAAAUUAAGUUUACUUAGUGGAAAGAAAAUGUCAGUUUUAGCACGAUCAGGCAGAAUAGACUUACCUGCAAACAUUUCAGCCAUGAGGCGGUCUGCGUCUGCACUCCAAAAAUCAAUACAUAUUUUAUAAUCUAUAGCACUUAGUAG
rnacentral:lncRNA from 1 species